CCUACGGGAGGCAGCAGUGAGGAAUAUUGGUCAAUGGGCGCGAGCCUGAACCAGCCAAGUAGCGUGAAGGAUGACUGCCCUACGGGUUGUAAACUUCUUUUAUAAAGGAAUAAAGUGAGGCACGUGUGCCUUUUUGUAUGUACUUUAUGAAUAAGGAUCGGCUAACUCCGUGCCAGCAGCCGCGGUUAUUCGGCGGUUCCGAUCGUUUUCCGGAUUUUUUGGGUUUAAAGGGAGCGGAGAUGGGUUGUUAAGUCAGUUGUGAAAGUUUGCGGCUCAACCGUAAAAUUGCAAUUGAUACUGGCAGCCGUGAGUACAGUUGAGGUAGGCGGAAUUCGUGGUGUAGCGGUGAAAUGCUUAGAUAUCACGAAGAACUCCGAUUGCGAAGGCAGCUUACUAAACUGCCACUGACAUUGAUGCUCGAAAGUGUGGGUAUCAAACAGGAUUAGAUACCCCGGUAGUC
rnacentral:rRNA from 1 species